rnacentral:lncRNA from 1 species
UAAAGAGGUCCGGGAUGUGCUCAGAGCAGGGGGCCUGAGGAAUGGCUCCUCUGUUUACAACACACCCAACAGGAAUCUGGGAUCAUUGUGACGAGAGGUACCAAAACUUGUAGGCUUCCUACGAACAAACUGUACAUGUGAAGGGAAAGAAUAAUAAUAAAAUAGUAAUAAUAACGUCAAUUCAUUAGAUAAUGCGACAGUUUUAAAUUGUAUACAUCUAACAUCAGAGCUCCAAAAUACAUGGAAGCAAAAACUGACAAAGUUGAGAGAUAGACAAAACCACCACAAUUAGAUUUGUCAACAUCUCAAUCAUUGAUAGAUCAACUAGAAAGAAAAUCAGUCAGGAUUUAGAAAACUUGAAUAACACUAUAAAACAUCUUGACCUAAUUGACAUUUAUAGACAUUUCAUCCAACAACAGCAGAAUACAUAUGUUUUUCAAGUCCCCUCAGAACAUUUCCCAAGAUAACCUGUAUUCUGAGUCAUAAAACAAGUCUGGAUAAAAGAUUGAGAUUAUACAAUGUUCUCUAAUAGCAACAGAAUUAAUUUAGAAAUCAAGAACGAAAGAUAUCUGGAAAUUAUCUAAAACGCCAUUUAUA